UUCCUACGGGCGGCUGCAGUGAGGAAUAUUGGGCAAUGGGCGAGAGCCUGACCCAGCAACGCCGCGUGGAGGAAGACGGCCUUCGGGUUGUAAACUCCUUUUGACAGGGAAGAGAGAGGACGGUACCUGUCGAAUAAGUCACGGCUAACUACGUGCCAGCAGCCGCGGUAAUACGUAGGUGACAAGCGUUAUCCGGAAUUACUGGGCGUAAAGCGCACGCAGGCGGCUGCUUAAGUCUGACGUGAAAUCUCCUGGCUUAACUGGGAGGGGUCGUUGGAAACUGGGUGGCGUGAGGUGGUGAGAGGGGUGCAGAAUUCCCGGUGUAGUGGUGGAAUGCGUAGAUAUCGGGAGGAAUACCAGUGGCGAAAGCGGCACCCUGGCACUGACCUGACGCUCAUGUGCGAAAGCGUGGGGAGCAAACGGGAUUAGAUACCCGGGUAGUCC
rnacentral:rRNA from 1 species